UAUAUAUACAAUUUUCAACAGUUUUGCUCAUCGGUUGUUAACUUUGAUAGCCAUCAAAAUACUGAGCUGUUGAAAAUAUGCAUGGUAAAAUUAAAAAUUCCCAAUUUCAAAAAUGUAAGCGCUGAAGAUUAUGCAUGUUGCCACCUAUAUAUAUGUGUGAAAAUAUAUAGCAUAAAGAAACAAGCCUUGUACCAUCUACCAUCAUCUCAUAAUUCUUUUAUUACAAUUUUAGUAGUUCAAUUUGACAAUAUGCUCAUAACAUGGCGUGGAAUCUUAUGUGCUUGCAUAUGCGGGGUUAUCCAAAUUAUAGUUUAAACACAACUAGGUUUGUCUUGGCAUGAAAUUAUUACAGGAUUAUCCAGGAUUAUCAAAAGAAUUUAUGUAACUCUGAAUGUCUGUGUCCAGACGCAUAAUCCAGGAUGCAAUCAAUACAUUUAACGGCCCAUCAAACUUACAAAGUAUCGUGUAUUGAGUGCUCCCUAAUAGGUACUAAAAGCAUGUCACAACAAGGAUUUUAUGAAGAAUCUCCUUAGAUGCAUGGGCCAGAUAUAAGGAAAUGGCAGAGUACCAGACUCAAUUGGUGAGCUAAAGAAUAUACAAACUAAUUUGCUUGGCUCGUUCAUGGGAACAGAAUAGAUAGCCAUAUAAUAACAUUCAAAACCAACAAAGUAGUAAAUUAACAAAUUGAAGAGAUCCCGCAAAGCAGAACAAAUAGUGCAGUGGUGUCAAUCUCUGCUCAAUAUUCAACUAUUUUAGUAGGGUGGAAGAGACUAUCUAGCUUUCAAAUAACAUGGUGCAAAAGGUAACCAAAGAGAAAAUUUUUUAUUAGGGCAAUGGCCAACAAUUUUAAUGAAGGCUAAAGCCAAGAAUGCAUAAAUGAGCUGUAUACUGAACAAAGCACAGCUAGGUGGUCUGGCCAACUAGAUCAUUUACCAACUAAUGAUAAAAAGUGAAAUCCAAGCGAAGCAUAAGUGGGAAGACAUUUAUUAAUUAUCUGAUGCAUAUAGCCAAUGGUUUACAUUGAUAAAGCCAAAGCUAUACUUCCAUUACAAUGCAAAUUCCUCAAGGACCCAGAUCCCAAACACUAGAAGUGUUACUUUAGAUGAGUAAUAUGUUUGCCAAUUAGGCCAAAGACAAACUUCCAUAUUUUCAAUCCCUAAUCCUCCCCUCUUCUCAUUCAACAGACCUUUUCACUUCAAACAAUGAAUUCCUACAUGUGGGGUUAAACCUUCAGCUUCAGCAGAAGUCACUUGGAAAGCUCUUUGGUUUUUGUUAUUACCGACUGAGGAGCUCCGAAAACACAUGUCAUUGAAAAAUAGAUUACUAUUACUAUAGCUUUAAAUGAAGUAGGUACUCCAAAUGACAAUAAAUCUUUAAAUGAAGUAGGUACUCCAAAUGACAAUAAAUCUCUUCCCAGCCAAAAACCAUUCAAACCAAUUUGUCAUAU
rnacentral:lncRNA from 1 species